rnacentral:rRNA from 1 species
CCGACGGGUGAGUAACACGUAUCCAACCUGCCGUCUACUCUUGGACAGCCUUCUGAAAGGAAGAUUAAUACAAGAUGGCAUCAUGAGUUCACAUGUUCACAUGAUUAAGGUAUUCCGGUAGACGAUGGGGAUGCGUUCCAUUAGAUAGUAGGCGGGGUAACGGCCCACCUAGUCUUCGAUGGAUAGGGGUUCUGAGAGGAAGGUCCCCCACAUUGGAACUGAGACACGGUCCAA